CUCUGAGGCCCAGCGGCAAGGGUCCGCGCGCGGGUGUAGACCGAGCGAGACUGGGACUUUGAGCCGGGCCCGGAGCUCUCUGAGGCAGUGUCCAGGCUGGGAUUCUCACAGCGAGCAGCACCUGGAAGACGGAACCAGCUCCUCGAAGAUCGCUAAUACCCAGAUGCGUGCCCAGCCCAGGGAGCUGGCGUCCACAAGGCAGUUGCUUUAGUACAGCUUCUCCGGUGUGCAUCCAGAGUGGUCGCUGAAGGGUUUAGGUGCUGGGAAUCUCCGGUAGGUUUCUUGGAUACCUGCUUUCUCUGUUAGGAUUGAAAACUAAGCUGCUGAGUGUCAAUGAGAGACUGUAACCAAAGAAGCCAACCAUCUCUUUCUUUCUUUAAACGCUACAAGUGAUCUUUUUGGAAAGUAUAAUACAAUCUUGGUUUUAGAGCAUAAUUCUUUCCAGAAACAUGCUUGUAAUCCAAAACUCUUGUGCAUCAAAGUGAAUUUCCCCUACGAAAUGAUGGAAACUCAGAUGAUUCCUUCCACAAUCUAAAAA
rnacentral:lncRNA from 1 species